rnacentral:rRNA from 1 species
UGGGGAAUAUUGGACAAUGGGCGAAAGCCUGAUCCAGCCAUGCCGCGUGUGUGAAGAAGGUCUUCGGAUUGUAAAGCACUUUAAGUUGGGAGGAAGGGCAGUAAGCGAAUACCUUGCUGUUUUGACGUUACCGACAGAAUAAGCACCGGCUAACUCUGUGCCAGCAGCCGCGGUAAUACAGAGGGUGCAAGCGUUAAUCGGAAUUACUGGGCGUAAAGCGCGCGUAGUUGGUUCGUUAAGUUGAAUGUGAAAGCCCCGGGCUCAACCUGGGAACUGCAUCCAAAACUGGCGAGCUAGUGUAGUGCAGAGGGUGGUGGAAUUUCCUGUGUAGCGGUGAAGUGCGUAGAUAUAGGAAGGAACACCAGUGGCGAAGGCGACCACCUGGGCUCAUACUGACAAUGAGGUGCGAAAGCGUGGGGAGCAAACAGG